GAUGAACGCUGGCGGCGUGCCUAAUACAUGCCAGUCGAGCGAACAGACGAGGAGCUUGCUCCUCUGACGUUAGCGGCGGACGUGUGAGUAACACGUGGAUACCCUACCUAUAAGCCUGGGAUAACUGCGGGACACCGGAGCUAAUACCGGAUGAUAUAUUUAACCGCAUGGUUCAAUAGUGAAAGACGGUUUUGCUGUCGCUUGUGGAUUGAUCAGCGCCGGAUGGGCUAGUUGGUAAGCAAACGGCUUACCAGGAGAAGGAGGCGGAUCCGAACUGGGCGACGGAUCGGCCCCCCUGGAAGUGACACACGCACCAGACUCCUGCGGGACGCAGCAGUAGGGAAUGUUCCGCAACGGGCGAAAGCCUUACGGAGCAGCGCCGCGUGAGUGAUGACGGUCUUCGGAUCGGAAAGCUCUGCUUUUGGUUAAGAACAAAUGUGUAAGUAACUAUGCACGUCUUGACGGUACCUAAUCAGAAAGCCACGGCUAACUACGUG
rnacentral:rRNA from 1 species